rnacentral:rRNA from 1 species
GCACAAGCGGUGGAGCAUGUGGUUUAAUUCGACGCAACGCGAAGAACCUUACCUGGGCUUGACAUCUGCGGAAUUUCUACGAAAGUGGGAAGUGCCCUUCGGGGAGCCGCAAGACAGGUGCUGCAUGGCUGUCGUCAGCUCGUGUCGUGAGAUGUUGGGUUAAGUCCCGCAACGAGCGCAACCCUUAUCUUUAGUUACCAUCAUUCAGUUGGGGACUCUAAAGACACUGCCCCGGUCAACGGGGAGGAAGGUGGGGAUGACGUCAAGUCCUCAUGGCCCUUAUGUCCAGGGCUACACACGUGCUACAAUGGGCAGUACAAAGGGCAGCGAGCCUGCGAAGGUGAGCCAAUCCCAAAAAGCUGUUCGUAGUUCGGAUUGGAGUCUGCAACUCGACUCCAUGAAGCUGGAAUCGCUAGUAAUCGCGGAUCAGCAUGCCGUGGUGAAUACGUUCCCGGGCCUU